rnacentral:rRNA from 1 species
GACAGAGGGUGCAAACGUUGUUCGGAUUUACUGGGCGUAAAGCGCGUGUAGGCGGCUUGGCAAGUUGAAUGUGAAAGCCCACGGCUCAACCGUGGAAGCGCAUCCAAAACCGCUUCGCUCGAGUCUCGGAGAGGAAGGUGGAAUGCUUGGUGUAGAGGUGAAAUUCGCAGAUAUCAGGAGGAACACCAGCGGCGAAGGCGGCGCUCUGGGCUGGAACUGACGCUGAGGAGCGAAAGCGUGGGGAGCGAACAGG